GGAAAGGCGCGCGAUACAGGGUGACAGCCCCGUACACAAAAAUGCACAUGCUGUGAGCUCGAUGAGUAGGGCGGGACACGUGGUAUCCUGUCUGAAUAUGGGGGGACCAUCCUCCAAGGCUAAAUACUCCUGACUGACCGAUAGUGAACCAGUACCGUGAGGGAAAGGCGAAAAGAACCCCGGCGAGGGGAGUGAAAAAGAACCUGAAACCGUGUACGUACAAGCAGUGGGAGCACGCUUAGGCGUGUGACUGCGUACCUUUUGUAUAAUGGGUCAGCGACUUAUAUUCUGUAGCAAGGUUAACCGAAUAGGGGAGCCGAAGGGAA
rnacentral:rRNA from 1 species